CCUUAACGAGAAUCUGAUACGGUUCCAGUCAGACCGGAGGGAAAGACGCUAAUACAGCUUCGCAACC
rnacentral:pre_miRNA from 1 species